UUCAAUCUCUAUCAUAUUUCUCUUCUUCUUUCUCUCAUCUUCCUUCUUCUCUUCUUUCUUUUUAGCUGAGUUCAAGAUCUCAGUUGCACCAGUUUAUUAUAUUGUAUUAGAUACACGAGCCCGUAGCUCAUAUUAUAGGUGAAUCAAUCUGUUAAGUGGUGUGGAUAUUAAAAUUCAAUCUAAUAUUGAUCAAUCUUGCUUCAAGUUCUUGAGAUUUCUUAAAAGGAAUUCUUGAUUCUAAUCUUGUGAUGAAUUCAAAAGUAUGUGAUGUUGCUAUGUACUCAAGAAAUGCAGAAGGAAAUGGUAGAUAUCAAAGGUUCAAAAAGAACUACAAUGUGCAGUGUGAAUUCUGCAAAAUGAAGGUCAUACCAAAGAUAACUAUUGGAAAAUCAUUGGAUAUCCACCAGACUUUAAGAACAAGAAGAAUCCUAGAGUUUUAGAAGGUUUGGCUUAUAAUGUAGUGCUAGAUCUAGAUGUUAUCUCAGAAAAAUGUUUUUAUUAUCAGAAUACAGAAGAACAAACAAGCUCAAGUCUGCAGAAGUCUCAGCUAAGACAAAUGGAAACUACAGCUUUUACUAAGGAACAAUAUGAACAAAUUGCUCAAUUGAUUAAUCAGAACAAAGAAGCAAUUAAUGAACCUGAGUCAAAAAAUGUAGCAGGAUCUCUCUACUGGAAGGGUAAGGGUGAUUAGUAAACUAGAAAGAGGCAUAUAUCUACUAGGAGAUCAGGAUAACAAGAGUGCAGUCAAGGUAGUACCAAGUGGUGAAGCAUAUGGAUCGUGUAUGAGCAGAGAAAGUGGCAAUCAUGCAAAAAUAGAUAUUUGGAAUAAGAGGUUUGGUCAUGUGCCUGCUAAUAUACUACUAAAACUUGUGUCUGGGAAAACUCAAGUAAUAAGUGAUAGCAUUGUGCAGUGUGUCCUGUUGCAUACCUUUCAGUUCUAGUAGUAUUAAGACUGCAAGUUGCUUUGAUGUU